GACGAACGCUGGCGGCGUGCUUAACACAUGCAAGUCGAACGGAAAGGCCCUUCGGGGUACUCGAGUGGCGAACGGGUGAGUAACACGUGGGUGAUCUGCCCUGCACUUUGGGAUAAGCCUGGGAAACUGGGUCUAAUACCGAAUAUGACCGCGCUCUUCAUGGGGUGUGGUGGAAAGCUUUUGCGGUGUGGGAUGGGCCCGCGGCCUAUCAGCUUGUUGGUGGGGUAAUGGCCUACCAAGGCGACGACGGGUAGCCGGCCUGAGAGGGUGACCGGCCACACUGGGACUGAGAUACGGCCCAGACUCCUACGGGAGGCAGCAGUGGGGAAUAUUGCACAAUGGGCGCAAGCCUGAUGCAGCGACGCCGCGUGAGGGAUGACGGCCUUCGGGUUGUAAACCUCUUUCAGCUAUGACGAAGCGCAAGUGACGGUAGUAGCAGAAGAAGGACCGGCCAACUACGUGCCAGCCGCCGCAGUAA
rnacentral:rRNA from 1 species